rnacentral:misc_RNA from 1 species
GUUCAGCAGCAGAAAUUAAUAGAGAGGUCAAAUCCAGGAAGAGGAAGUCGAAAUCCAAGAGGAGGAAAAAAAUUGAAGAUCAUGCUCUCCCCAUGUUGGAUUCUGGUGUUCUGAGCAAGCAGGUAUGCUGUGAUGGUAACAUUGUGGGUGUAAGUGGACUGGUGGCCUCCAAGUGGCCGGAAAAGAAACAACUCGAUGGCAUCCCAAAUAACGGUCUUGAGGAAGUGGAAGCUGGUGUUUUCAGGGAACAGGGAGGUGGUUCUGGUGACCAUUUUGGCGUAGGUGCAACAGUGGAAAUUAAUACACAAAUCAAAUCCAAGAAAAGGAAACCGAGAUCCAAGAAAAGGAGAAGUGAGGAUCAUGCUCUCCCCAUAAUGGAAUCUGGUGUUCUUAGCAAGCAUGUUGGGUGUGAUGGUCAUAUUGUAGAUGCAAGCGGACCAGCUGGCCACCUUCAAUACGGAGAAAAAGAAACUUGAUGGUAUCCUGAAUGAUCUAGGAAGUGGAGGCUGGUGUUGUCUGGAAAGAGGGAGGUGGCUUUGUUGACCACGUCGGUGUAGGCGCAGCAGCAGAAAUUGGUAAAGAAGCCCAAUCCAGGAAGAGGAAAGAGAGAUCCAAGAAAAGGAGGAUUGAAGAUGGUGCCUCUCCCAAAUGGCAUCUAGAAAUUGGAUGGUCUCGUCUUUGUGAGCAGAGAAAGUGAUCCCAUCUAUUACAAUUUUGAGAAUUUGAUAGCUGGAUUGCUUGUUGAAUUAUAGACGUGGCUCUGCACUGUAGGGCAUUGUCAUUACAAAGAAAGUUUGGCAGCAGAAAUGAGGUCUGAUUUUUUUAAAAGCAGAUAAUCUGAGUGGAACCAAAUUUGUGUUGCACUUAAAUGAUGUGGGAAGCCAAAUCUGUAUUCUAAUAUUGCGAGUGUGCCUCCGGGUGCACCUCGAAAGCUUAUAGAUUCAUUUGUUGGAUUCUGGUUUUGCUCUUUAUUAGAAAGAAAACUGGAAAAGAAAACUUUUCAUUUGAAAAGUUUUAAACUCAGUGAACUGAAUGAUUUUCAAGCAAUUCGCAGUUGCAUCAUAUUACGCGCAUGAUUGUAGGCUACAAUUUUCUUUGAAGUCAUUUCUUGUUCUCUCGUCUAUCUUCAUUUAGGG